UGUGCUUGAAAUUAAUAUGAAUUCAGAUGAAAAAAACAGCUAAAUUGGGGAGGGGGGGAAUUGGGCUCUAUUACUGUAACGAACUGCGCACUGUUUGGUACAAACUGUGAUGUAAUUGCGUUUACUGCCGAACAAGCUGGUGUGCAUUGCUAUAGACAUUUCAGUAAGGGCAAUUUGCUCGGUAAAAGUCAGACUUCACCCUCAAGAGGCAACUUUCAAUUAAGGGGAACAUUAGAAUGAAUCCCUAAACUUUGGGCUCUGAUUUAUUUUGCAGAAAGAGGUAGUAUAGUGCUGAAGAGGGUUAACACUAGUUUAUUAACAGUUGUCCCUCUUGAAAGUAAUUACUACAGGAAAGUAACAUGGUACAAGUAACGAAGAUUGACACAAAUGUGCCAUAUGUAUACUAGGUGCUUCAUAAAGGUCCUCCGGCUGAAUAGUUCAUAAACAAGGUGGUGCUAUCAAAAAGCUUUCAUUUCACUGAUCAUUCCUGAGGUGUUGGCCAAGAACUCAGCAGUGGGAGAGUCAUUUGCAUGCUCUCAUUGAUUGAAUAAAGCUCGUUUUAAACUUUUAAGCUUGUUAACUUUUUACUGUGGAUGCCUUCAGUAUUUCUGUUUUAUUGAUUUGAACCUUCAGCAAAAACUGUUCCAGACAAAGAAACACAGCAUUUAUAUUUUAAUGAUUUCUAGUUAAUUGGUUUCGGCGUACAUAUUUCUUGGACGGAGCAGUGUAUCGAUGCGCUCUUACACUUAGCUAUGAGGCCGCCAAAGAAAGCUUUCUGAUAGCAUCACCUGUUUAUGAAUUAUUCUGCUGGGGGACCAUAGUGAAACAGCAGCUACACCUGGGCUCUGACUUUCUGUGCCAGUACAAAAUUUCAGAAAAUCACCUUAAGAAAAUGCAGAACAAGGCAUAUGCCAGCUAAAAUUGUGUAUACGUAAAACUAAAAAGUAAGAUAAUCUCUUGUACUUAUUAAAUAUGAAAAUUGGAAUCACUUAGGAAGUGAACGUGAGUAGUCACUGAUUGUUAAAAACUAUAAUUCUUGACAACCUCUUACGCAGACGUGGCCUUGCGGUCACCUUCUCCGUGUACUGUUUGGCAAUGUGAUAAAGUCUUAUCUUCCCAUAACAGUCUGCAACGUGUUUUGCAAGGCGAAUGACAUGGUUUUCAUCUGGACUGCACUCAAACAUGUGCUGGCUCAAAGUAGGAAAAAUGUCCAGUCUUGCAGACGUGCACAGAAUGUCCUGCAAGACGGCCCUUGUGAGAAGCUGCCCAAGCUGAGCAUUGGAUGUCAAGAUUCCUUCUGAGAUAUGAAGCAUUUGACGAACACGUUUUUCUGUUGUUUUACAAAUGGCGAUGACACUCUGAGACGCACUAAUCAGACCACCUCGAGACUUCCGACGAAGAAGAGCACUGUGUAGAGUUCUGUCUGUGAGAGCGUCGAUGCAGUCAGCACAGGAGAUCUUCCUUGUCACCAUCUUGACAACGUACCCCGCGAUGUACCCCACAACAUCUUCAACAAAGGCUGACAGUUGCUCUGUAUCAGGUACAUCUGCGUAGUCGUGAUCUUCAACACAUUCACUCUGUGCAGUACCAAAAUAGCGGGAUGCAUGAAUGUCAAGUUCGUCAAGGGAAGUAGCUCCUGCUGCUGCUGCUGCUGUCACAGUCAGUAUGCGUGUGGAGUCUUGGGCGAUACAAUUACCUCGUGCUGUAGGCUCGAUUUCAUGGUGAACAAGGAGCCUCUUGUAUGCAGCCAUGAAGUGUCCUGCCGUCGGGUUGUUGCACCACCCACCUUUACCCCUCAACGCACAAAAGAAAAGUUCGAGGUGGUCUUGAGAGAGUUUGUAUGUGAGCAGGUACCUUAAGAGUGCAUUAUCUCCUGAAAGAAGAUGGCUGCAUAGGCUUUGAAUGCUUGCCAUGUUGAUGAGGAAUCCAAGGAAGCCUGUUUUUCGUGGGGAUUCUAAUAUUGGCUUUCCAGAUGCAUCUUUCAGGUUGCCAAUAUACGCAGUCAUCUCGUUGAAGAAUGGAAUCCAAAGGUGGCGGGUUGGAUAACGGAUGGGUGCUUCGAAGUUCUUUGCCAGGGGAUUGCGGGAGUUCAUGAUGUCGAACAGACGAUCGAACUUCCUGAGGAAUUCCACUGUUGCCUCACAUCCAUGAAACAUUGGAUUGUUUAUGUCCCUGUCACAGAACUCCAGAGCAUCCGCCACACUUGAGCUGAGUGUCUGAGCUGCCAAAUUCACCUUCAUCUUCUGACUUCCCCAGUCAAUGUGGGCAGCCUUGAGCUUGUUUCCAGCAUGAAGCCCUUCCGAUUGCUGCAGAUUUUGGAGGGAUACGAGGGCAUUACGAAUCAGCUUCAGCAUGUGGCAAGCAUCGAGGAUUACAUGAACUCUCCAGGAAGAAUCAGAAGGGUGCUGAAACCAUGGCCUGAUGUCGGGGCUUUUCAUGUUUGCACCAAGGUCUUGAAACAUGGCUGUUGAUCAGAAAGUAUGCACAUGGCACUUUCCAGUUACUGUCCAAAGCAACCACAAGGAAUACAAGAGCUUGUGUAGCUGGUUCCUGACUGUCGUCAUCAAUGCCAGUACCUAGGUUUAUGAAGCCAUUAAAGGACUGUCCUGUGAACUGAA